rnacentral:rRNA from 1 species
CAAUAGCGUAUAUUUAAGUUGUUGCAGUUGAAAGGCUCGUAGUCGGAAUUUAGCGCUUUCUCGAUGGUCCGCCUCUGGUGUGCACUGUCGACGAUUGUGCUUUCUGUCGGGGACGUGUUCCUGGGCUUAACUGUCUGGGACUCGGGCUCGGCGUGGUUACUUUGAGUAAAUUAGAGUGUUCAAAGCAGGCGAUCGCCCUGAAUACAUUAGCAUGGAAUAGCAUGAUAGGGCUCUGGCCUAUCUUGCUGGUCUGUAGGACCGGAGUAAUGAUUAAGAGGGACAGUCGGGGGCAUUCGUAUUUCGUUGUCAGAGGUGAAAUUCUUGGAUUUACGAAAGACGAACAUCUGCGAAAGCAUUUGCCAAGGAUGUUUUCAUUGA